rnacentral:rRNA from 1 species
AUUGAACGCUGGCGGCAGGCCUAACACAUGCAAGUCGAACGAGUGGCGGACGGGUGAGUAAUGUCUGGGAAACUGCCCGAUAGAGGGGGAUAACUACUGGAAACGGUAGCUAAUACCGCAUACCAUCGGAUGUGCCCAGAUGGGAUUAGCUAGUAGGUGGGGUAAAGGCUCACCUAGGCGACGAUCCCUAGCUGGUCUGAGAGGAUGACCAGCCACCCUGGAACUGAGACACGGUCCAGACUCCUACGGGAGGCAGCAGUGGGGAAUAUUGCACAAUGGGCGCAAGCCUGAUGCAGCCAUGCCGCGUGUAUGAAGAAGGCCUUAGGGUUGUAAAGUACUUGCAGCGAGGAGGCGUUACCCGCAGAAGAAGCACCGGCUAACUCCGUGCCAGCAGCCGCGGUAAUAC